rnacentral:rRNA from 1 species
UACGUAGGGGGCAAGCGUUGUCCGGAUUUAUUGGGCGUAAAGAGCGUGUAGGCGGUUUGGUAGGUCCGUUGUGAAAACUCGAGGCUCAACCUCGAGACGCCGAUGGAAACCAUCAGACUAGAGUCCGGAAGAGGAGAGUGGAAUUCCGGGUGUAGUGGUGAAAUGCGUAGAGAUCCGGAGGAACACCAGUGGCGAAGGCGACACGCUGGGCCGUACCUGACACUGAUGCGCGACAGCAUGGGGAGCAAACAGG